rnacentral:rRNA from 1 species
UCCUGCAGCUCUCGCCUGGUUUCCUACUGAAGCUAAGCAGGGUUGAGCCUGGCCAGUACCUGGAUAAAACCCAGAGACCUUCUGGGUAAAACUAAGGUUGCUGCUGGAA